GAUGAACGCUGGCGGCGUGCCUAAUACAUGCAAGUCGAACGCUGGAGCUCUAGCUUGCUAGAUCGAAGGAGUGGCGAACGGGUGAGUAAUACAUAAGCAACCUACCCACGAAGACUGGGAUAAUCUCUGGAAACGGGGACUAAUACCGGAUAGGUAAUCGGAAGGCAUCUUCUGGUUAUUAAAGGUUAAAAACACUGGUGGAUGGGCUUAUGGCGCAUUAGUUAGUUGGUGAGGUAACGGCCCACCAAGACGAUGAUGCGUAGCCGGCCGGAGAGGGUGAACGGCCACAUUGGGACUGAGACACGGCCCAGACUCCUACGGGAGGCAGCAGUAGGGAAUUUUCGGCAAUGGGGGCAACCCUGACCAAGCAACGCCGCGUGAGUGAAGACGGCCUUCGGGUUGUAAAGCUCUGUUGUAAGGGAAGAACGGUAGAUAGAGAAUAUCUAAGUGACGGUACCUUACCAGAAAGCCACGGCUAACUACGUG
rnacentral:rRNA from 1 species